rnacentral:rRNA from 1 species
CAACUUUCAACAACGGAUCUCUUGGUUCUGGCAUCGAUGAAGAACGCAGCGAAAUGCGAUAAGUGGUGUGAAUUGCAGAAUUCAGUGAAUCAUCGAAUCUUUGAACGCACAUUGCGCCCUUUGGUAUUCCAAAGGGCAUGCCUGUUCGAGCGUCAUU